AGGAUUGUAGUUAAAUAUAACAUCUGGGUUGCAUUCAGAAGGUACAACUAAGUUGUCUAUCUUU
rnacentral:tRNA from 1 species